UACGUAGGGGGCAAGCGUUGUCCGGAAUCAUUGGGCGUAAAGAGCGUGUAGGCGGUCCGGUAAGUCGGCUGUGAAAGUCCAGGGCUCAACCCUGGGAUGCCGGUCGAUACUGCCGGACUAUAGUUCGGAAGAGGCGAGUGGAAUUCCCGGUGUAGCGGUGAAAUGCGCAGAUAUCGGGAGGAACACCUAUGGCGAAGGCAGCUCGCUGGGACGUUACUGACGCUGAGACGCGAAAGCGUGGGGAGCAAACAGG
rnacentral:rRNA from 1 species